AACGUAGGAGACAACCGUUAUCCGGAGUUACUGGGCGUAAAGGGCGUGUAGGUGGUAGAGUAAGUCUGGCGUGAAAUUUUUCGGCUUAACCGGGAAAGGUCGUCGGAUACUGCUUAACUAGAGGACGGUAGAGGCGUGUGGAAUUCCGGGUGUAGUGGUGAAAUGCGUAGAGAUCCGGAGGAACACCAGUGGCGAAGGCGACACGCUGGGCCGUACCUGACGCUGAUGCGCGACAGCAUGGGGAGCAAACAGG
rnacentral:rRNA from 1 species